rnacentral:piRNA from 1 species
UAUAAGCAUACUGUAGCAGCUAAGU